rnacentral:rRNA from 1 species
AAUCAACGCUGGCGGCGCGCUUAACACAUGCAAGUCGAACGAGAAAGUGGAGCAAUCCAUGAGUAAAGUGGCGUACGGGUGAGUAACACGUGGAUCAUCUACCUCUUAGUGGGGAAUAACGCUGGGAAACCGGCGCUAAUACCGCAUAAGCCUUAGCAGGGAAAGUCGCCCUGGUAAAACAGGGUGACGCUGAGAGAGGAGUCCGCGGCCGAUUAGCUAGUUGGUGAGGUAAAAGCCCACCAAGGCAAAGAUCGGUAGCCGGCCUGAGAGGGCACACGGCCACACUGGCACUGAAACACGGGCCAGACUCCUACGGGAGGCAGCAGUGGGGAAUCUUGCACAAUGGGGAAACCCUGAUGCAGCGACGCCGCGUGAGCGAUGAAGCCCUU